GGUGUCACUUUGGCACCUCAUCUACUAAAAUGGGAACCAUACAGAGAAGAUUAGCAUGGCUGCUGCACAAGAAUGACAUAGAAAUUCAUGAAGCAUUCCAUAUUUUU